rnacentral:rRNA from 1 species
CCUACGGGGGGCAGCAGUGGGGAAUAUUGGACAAUGGGGGGAACCCUGAUCCGGCCAUGCCGCGUGUGUGAAGAAGGCCCUCGGGUUGUAAAGCACUUUCAGUGAGGAAGAACGCCUGGUGGUUAAUACCCAUCAGGAAAGACAUCACUCACAGAAGAAGCACCGGCUAACUCCGUGCCAGCAGCCGCGGUAAUACGGAGGGUGCGAGCGUUAAUCGGAAUUACUGGGCGUAAAGCGCGCGUAGGUGGCUUGAUAAGCCGGUUGUGAAAGCCCCGGGCUCAACCUGGGAACGGCAUCCGGAACUGUCAAGCUAGAGUGCAGGAGAGGAAGGUAGAAUUCCCGGUGUAGCGGUGAAAUGCGUAGAGAUCGGGAGGAAUACCAGUGGCGAAGGCGGCCUUCUGGACUGACACUGACACUGAGGUGCGAAAGCGUGGGUAGCAAACAGGAUUAGAUACCCGAGUAGUC